GAUGAAGAACGUAGCGAAAUGCGAUAAGUAAUGUGAAUUGCAGAAUUCAGUGAAUCAUCGAAUCUUUGAACGCACAUUGCGCCCCCUGGUAUGCCGGGGGGCAUGCCUGUUCGAGCGUCAUUUCACCACUCAAGCCUCGCUUGGUAUUGGGCAACGCGGUCCGCCGCGUGCCUCAAAUCGACCGGCUGGGUCUUCUGUCCCCUAAGCGUUGUGGAAACUAUUCGCUAAAGGGUGUUCGGGAGGCUACGCCGUAAAACAACCCCAUUUCUAAGGUUGACCUCGGAUCAGGUAGGGAUACCCGCUGAACUUAAGCAUAUCAAUAAGCGGAGGA
rnacentral:misc_RNA from 1 species